rnacentral:rRNA from 2 species
CACGCCGUAAACGAUGAGUGCUAGGUGUUGGGGGGUUCCACCCUCAGUGCUGAAGUUAACACAUUAAGCACUCCGCCUGGGGAGUACGACCGCAAGGUUGAAACUCAAAGGAAUUGACGGGGGCCCGCACAAGCAGUGGAGCAUGUGGUUUAAUUCGAAGCAACGCGAAGAACCUUACCAGGUCUUGACAUCCUCUGACAAUCCUGGAGACAGGACGUUCCCCUUCGGGGGACAGAGUGACAGGUGGUGCAUGGUUGUCGUCAGCUCGUGUCGUGAGAUGUUGGGUUAAGUCCCGCAACGAGCGCAACCCUUGAUCUUAGUUGCCAGCAUUUAGUUGGGCACUCUAAGGUGACUGCCGGUGACAAACCGGAGGAAGGUGGGGAUGACGUCAAAUCAUCAUGCCCCUUAUGACCUGGGCUACACACGUGCUACAAUGGACGGUACAAAGGGCAGCGACACCGCGAGGUGAAGCAAAUCCCAUAAAGCCGUUCUCAGUUCGGAUUGCAGGCUGCAACUCGCCUGCAUGAAGCCGGAAUUGCUAGUAAUCGCGGAUCAGCAUGCCGCGGUGAAUACGUUCCCGGGCCUUGUACACACCGCCC